GACGAACGCUGGCGGCGUGCUUAACACAUGCAAGUCGAACGCUGAAGCCCAGCUUUUGUUGGGUGGAUGAGUGGCGAACGGGUGAGUAACACGUGAGUAACCUGCCCCCUUCUUUGGGAUAACGCCCGGAAACGGGUGCUAAUACUGGAUAUUCACUGGUCUUCGCAUGGGGGUUGGUGGAAAGGGUUUUUCUGGUGGGGGAUGGGCUCGCGGCCUAUCAGCUUGUUGGUGGGGUGAUGGCCGACCAAGGCUUUGACGGGUAGCCGGCCUGAGAGGGUGACCGGUCACAUUGGGACUGAGAUACGGCCCAGACUCCUACGGGAGGCAGCAGUGGGGAAUAUUGCACAAUGGGCGCAAGCCUGAUGCAGCGACGCCGCGUGAGGGAUGGAGGCCUCCGGGUUGUGAACCUCUUUCGCUCAUGGUCAAGCCGCAACAAUGGUUGUGGUGAGGGUAGUGGGUAAAGAAGCGCCGGCUAACUACGUG
rnacentral:rRNA from 1 species